GAAAGUUCUAGCACUGGGAUUCAUAGUCAUGUCUAUUUGGCUCCAAAAUCAACAUUCUCCCUAUGGUCCACAGUAACACACACAAAUGUUCUCUCUGCAUCUAAGACCCUGCGUUUGCACUAGAUUCUAAGAAUACUUCUGGUUACAUUAAUGCUGACUUCACAGCGACCCUCAGUCUCCAUCAUCCUCCACUUCAAGCCUCCCCCAGUUACCUGGGAUCUCACCUGUGC
rnacentral:lncRNA from 1 species